AUGCUUGAAUCAGUAGCAAAUAUACUCAAAUGGAACAACAUGGAGAAAGUUAGCAUUCUCUGUGCCAGGAUGACAUGCAAAUUCAAGAAUUGUUCCAGAUUUUU